UACGUAGGGGGCGAGCGUUGUCCGGAAUUAUUGGGCGUAAAGAGCUCGUAGGCGGUUCGUCGCGUCGGCUGUGAAAACCCGGAGCUCAACUCCGGGCCUGCAGUCGAUACGGGCGGACUUGAGUGUUGCAGGGGAGACUGGAAUUCCUGGUGUAGCGGUGAAAUGCGCAGAUAUCAGGAGGAACACCGGUGGCGAAGGCGGGUCUCUGGGCAACUACUGACGCUGAGGAGCGAAAGCGUGGGGAGCGAACAGG
rnacentral:rRNA from 1 species